GCAGCUCUAGCAGCAACUCAAAUAACUGCUGCACAUCAGCUUCCCUGACAGCUCACAAUGAAGACAGCAAAUUAAACUCUCUGGACUCUUGUAUUGCUAUCAUGCCCUGGAAUGCUGUGAACAAUAUUUGUGAAUUUGGUACAGCAAGUUGUACAUGAAGAAGUCCAGGACCUGGAGGUUGUCUGCCACGGACCAGAGCACUGAGAGCAGACGAUCCCGUCAACAGCUAGAGAAGCAGGUCAGCAGAGGACCAGGACCACUUCCUAAAGAGUCAACGACAGCACAGCCUGACCCAUCAGCCGACAGACCUGCUUUGACACUAGAGCUAGGAAACCCUGUGCAGACAGUUUCUUCAUUGUUGUACAUAUGUUGUUUAUGCUUAUAUUAUAAUAUAUAUUUGGUAUAAUGUAUGAUGUUCCAAAAAAAAAGGUGUCAUGACACAUUGUGUUCUAAUUAUUUGUGCAGCUUGUAAAGAGGUAAAUGUAAUGGUUGGAUUGUUUAUGCUGAGAUUAUAAGGAGUUGCCCACAGCACUUUCUUUCCACGUCUGAGGGCAGUUCUGGCAGACACAAGUAGGUUGACCUGCAACGGGACGGCCCGGUGGAGCAGCAUCUGCUGAUGUGAGGUGUAGUAAGUGAAGCAGCAGGCUCGUGUCACGUCAAGCUCAGUCCUCGAGUUCUGGCCUGUAGAGUAACACAUGAUUAGAUUAGAUACAUGAUAAAUGAGUAGAUGUAUGAUUAGAUACAUUGAACAGAGUCUGGAGUAAACUCAGUCUGAGCUAACAACACUCAUCGUGGAAGCUCUGACGUGCUAAACAACAUGAGAUGAGUCCUGUACAACGUCCACCUUCAUUGUGUCACAGAUAGUAACAGAAAAAAAGGUCAGAAAGCUCUGAAAGUGCUGCAGCUGUUUCAUCGUCACAAUAUGGCUGAAAUGUGGUGAAGUUUAAAAAUAUAAACUCAAAACAAACGUUGUCUGUGUAGAACUGCUAACCGUGUUUAUGUUUUAGCUUAGCCUGUGGCAGCCUGUUGCUAACUAGCCAGCAACAAGUUACUGCAUCAGAACUCCAUUUUCAAUGAGAUUUCCCAACACUAAAAUGUGCCCACCGACAAUAGCCAAUAGUUUACGUUUAUAUUAUGAUAAUGUCCGGUGUUUUCUUACUUGUGAAUGAGCCAAGAGCAGUCAGUUAGCAUGUUGUGCUAACUGACUGCUCGGUCUGAUUCCUCCUCCGAUACAGUCAGAAUCAGACUGAGGCAGCGGUGCACUUUCAUGUGUUGAGGGGGAGGGGCUUUGGACAGAGGUCUGAAGGAAGCGAGUCGGAUUUUGCGGCAAUUUUCGAAAUCACCGACUCAACCUUUAAGCUGCAUCCAUCUUCGAAAUAUUUACCCUGGUUUUGCUAUGUCUUGUUUGAAUACCUGGCGACCCAUGUUGUGGAAAUUGAAAGGGGGGUAUGCAAAUGUUUCUUCAAUCUCUGAAGUCAUAUGGCCAUCUUAUGAUUAUGACAAUAAAACUUAUUAUAUGUAUUAAGCUGGGUCCUACUUCUUUAUCAAAUAAUGGAGCCCAGUCCUAAAAUGUGUGUGGAAUUCUUGUUUUAAGACAUUCCUUUUAGUAAUUAUUUUAAUUAGUCUGAUACUAAAACAGAUCACUGCAACAAAUUGGAAAGCCUUUGUUUAAAAUGCUUUUAUAUGUAUGUCAAAACUUGUGACCUCUAGGAGAGCUAUUACUGAAUGUCCACCUCUACAGUCAUAAAUAACACUGUCAUUUUUUUAUCAUAUGCAUACACAAAACUCCCG
ensembl:lncRNA